rnacentral:rRNA from 1 species
UACAGAGGGUGCGAGCGUUAAUCGGAAUUACUGGGCGUAAAGCGUGCGUAGACGGCUAUCUAAGUCGGGUGUGAAAGCCCCGGGCUCAACCUGGGAAUUGCAUUCGAGACUGAAUAGCUAGGGUGCGGUAGAGGGAAGCGGAAUUUCCGGUGUAGCGGUGAAAUGCGUAGAUAUCUGGAGGAACACCGGUGGCGAAGGCGGCAUCCUGGACCGACACUGACGCUGAGGAGCGAAAGCCAGGGGAGCAAACGGG